UACAGAGGGGGCAAGCGUUAUUCGGAAUUAUUGGGCGUAAAGGGCGCGUAGGCGGCAUGGCAAGUGGAAGGUGAAAUCCCUCGGCUUAACCGAGGAACUGCCCUCCAAACUGCUUUGCUUGAGGCCGGGAGAGGUGAGUGGAAUUCCCAGUGUAGCGGUGAAAUGCGUAGAUAUUGGGAGGAACACCAGUGGCGAAGGCGGCAUUCUGGACUGCAACUGACACUGAGGAACGAAAGCCAGGGGAGCAAACGGG
rnacentral:rRNA from 1 species